rnacentral:rRNA from 1 species
GGGUCAGUAGGUUGGUCGUGCCACCGGUACGUACUGGUCUCACUGGUUCCUCCUUCCUGAAGAACCGUAAUGCCAUUAAUUUGGUGUUGCGGGGAAACAGGACUGUCACUUUGAAAAAAUUAGAGUGUUUAAAGCAAGCUAACGCUUGAAUACAUUAGCAUGGAAUAAUGAAAUAGGACGAUCGAUCCUAUUUUGUUGGUUUCUAGGAUUGACGUA